UACGAAGGGGGCUAGCGUUGCUCGGAUUGACUGGGCGUAAAGGGCGCGUAGGCGGAUGACACAGUCAGAUGUGAAAUUCCCGGGCUUAACCUGGGGGCUGCAUUUGAUACGUGUUGUCUAGAGUGAGGAAGAGGGUUGUGGAAUUCCCAGUGUAGAGGUGAAAUUCGUAGAUAUUGGGAAGAACACCGGUGGCGAAGGCGGCAACCUGGUCCUUGACUGACGCUGAGGCGCGAAAGCGUGGGGAGCAAACAGG
rnacentral:rRNA from 1 species